rnacentral:rRNA from 1 species
UACGUAGGGUGCGAGCGUUGUCCGGAAUUAUUGGGCGUAAAGGGCUCGUAGGCGGUCUGUCGCGUCGGGAGUGAAAACUCAGGGCUUAACCCUGAGCCUGCUUCCGAUACGGGCAGACUAGAGGUAUGCAGGGGAGAACGGAAUUCCUGGUGUAGCGGUGGAAUGCGCAGAUAUCAGGAGGAACACCGAUAGCGAAGGCAGCUCGCUGGGACGGUACUGACGCUGAGGCGCGAAAGCGUGGGGAGCGAACAGG